GGCGGGAGGCUGGGGAAACGGGAGUCCAGGCAGUUUCUUGAAAGAGGGAGGUCAUUGUCAUUAAGGUCAACUUGACCAAGAAAGUGGGGAUGGGAAGUGGGGCCUCCCCACCAAGAAACAGCUAGGGGAGGGGACAACUGGAGGGACAAUCUCCUCUCCUUCUGCCUUAGCUUCUACUAGCACAGUUUUGGAAAAUGAGGGACCCCAAGACUUUCCAUGGGGCAGCUGGAGACGUGGAGCUGUCCACACAGGCUUUCUCCUUCAGAGCUCGGCAUUCAGUCUCUCUCGGCCUUAGCCGCUCUCUGCCUGUGACGCAUGCUCACAGUUUACUGAGUGGGCUUCAAGGGCCAGCCUCCUUAUAAGCUAUGACCUCUCCUCCCUGCAAGAAAAGCAUCCUCGAGCUCAUUUAACUAACAGGAAAAUUGAGGUCCAGAGAGAGGUAGCAAUUUGCUAACAUGCAAGACAGGCAUAGAGGGACAGCUUAGGCUUAGAGAAGUUAAACAGCCUGUGGCAGCCAUGAAGUCGUGCUCCAAGAGAAGCUGCUGCAGGGAGCACAGCGGGGCUGCCAUGCCCUAGGUCUUCAGUGACACUCGGGGGUAUUAGAGCCAGGCCAUUUAUGGUCAACAAUGAGCUCUUCUCAGAGAUAAUCUCUGCUUGGGGGACUGCAGGCACCUGGCUGAGACUGUUACAGCUGGACUGCGGCCUGAGGCCCUUCCUACCUGGCUCUGUCCUCCCUGUGCCCUCCCUUCACAGUGUCUGCAGGCCCACAGCCAUCUGCGGGCUCUGCCUGCCCCCGUCCCUGUGCCCUUCUGGUCAUCUUUCACAGGCUUCCCCACAAUGAACCUCUUGCCCAUCUAAUCCCAUCUUAGUGUCUGCGUCUCAGAGGAGCUGCCCUGGCACGUGGCCUGGAGUCACACAGCCAGUAAGUGUGAAGCAGGACUGAAAGCCAGAUGCUAGAGCCAGGUCCUUUUAAUCCCCGGGCAAUUCUGUCUCUGGGAAAGCCAUGAAGAACAGCUGCUGCACCUGGGACCAGUGGCUGCCUGGUGCCCCUUUCCACCACUGGGCAUCGGAAGAACCGCAGUGCUGCUUGAGGGACCCAGCAUUUGGCCACCAGCACUGAGACACCCACAGCCCGCCAGCGAAACAUGGAGCUGCAAACCUGCGGCCAUCUCCCCUAACAACCAUUCACUUGGGCAGCAGGGCAGGUGAAAGGACCAAGAUAGCAGGAGAGAGAGAGAAGGGAGGAGACCACAUCCUGUCCCCACUUCCAUCAGAGUGACUCAUGCAGAGAAGUCUGAACUUUUGAAUGGGACUGAGUUUUACUGCAGGAAAACAACCAUAAUAAAUGUUAAAUGUGA